GUCCAUCAAAGACCUACUGAGACUGAGAACUUGUGGCACCCUAAAAUGUCUGAAAACUGACCAUUAAGCUAUAACGGGCAUGAUGGAAGUGAUGAUGACUCUGAUAUACCUUCUAUCAAACAAUUCCACCGUGAAGAAGAUGAGAGGGAUGAAGAAUCUUCUACCAAACAGACGCAGAACCGUGACAUUAAUGAAGUCGCAGAGGCUACUGUAAAAAAGCCAAAAGCUCAAGAUAUGAUAUCUAGAAUUAACACGACUGACAGAUUGAACAGACAACAAAAUACCAUUCAGGUUGGCAAUUAUUAUGUUAAAAAUGAAUCUUAUUUUUCAGAUUUGACAGACUUUAGAUUAUUUGCAGAAGUUGCACAAGCAGGACGAGCUCGUGCUGAAUACAGCAUAUUUGAGGCAGAAACCAAAGGUCCAAGCGCCUCAGCUGGUGCUGGAGUCAGUCCGGUUAAAGUCGAAGCAAUGGCUCGAGCUGAAGUCGCCAGUGCAUCAGCUAGUGUCGGUCCAGUUGGUGUGAAAGUGGGACUUGGAUUUGACACGGGUGCAUCUGCUGGUUUGGAUGGGGUGGAGGCCAAAAUCCUGGGAACUGGAUUCUCAAUUGGUCAAAAAAACAGCAUAUCUGUUCUGGGUUCAGAAGCAUCAUGUUCAGUCAUGUAGUCAUAGAGGUAUUAAUUACCUUGGAAUAUUGAUGUGUAACUUUUUACUACUGAACCAUGAAGAAAAAAUAAUAAUAAUUGUAACCAGUUAUAAAGCAUAAUUAGUA